rnacentral:RNase_P_RNA from 1 species
AAAGCAAGUUGGGCAAUCGCGAGUGUGAUCGCUUCGGUGAUUAGAUUCGAGGAAUGUCCGGACUCCAUCGAGCAGGGUAGCGGCUAACAGCCGUCCGUCAAGCAAUUGGCGAGGAAUAGGGCCACAGAGACGAGACUAGCAUGUGGGCACUUCGGUGCACUGAUACGGCCACUUCCGUAUGGCGUUAUGUUCACAUAACAGCAUGCUAGGGUGAAACGCGGUAACCUCUAUCCGGAGCAACAUCAAAUAGGCAUACACUUCCUUUCGAGGAAUAAGGGCGGCUCGUCUGAGUAUGCGGGUAGAUGGCUUGAGCGCUUUAGUAAUAAAGUGCCUAGAGGAAUGAUUGCCGACUGGGUAACCAGUUUACAGAAUCCGGCUUAUAGACUUGCUUUGUCU